UACCUGCAGCUCAAGUGGUGGCCGUUAUUAUUGGGCCUAAAACGUCCGUAGUCGGUUUAUUAAAUGCCUGGGUAAAUCGGACCGCUCAACGGUUCGAAUUCCGGGUAGACUGAUAGACUUGAGACUGGGAGAAGCUAGAGGUACUCCUGGGGUAGAGGUGAAAUUCUGUAAUCCUAGGGGGACCACCAGUGGCGAAAGCGUCUAGCUAGAACGGGUCUGACGGUGAGGGACGAAGCCCUGGGGCGCAAACCGGAUUAGAUACCCGGGUAGUCCAGGGUGUAAACGCUGCUUGCUUGAUGUUAGUCGGGCUCCGAGCCCGAUUAGUGUCGGAGAGAAGUUGUUAAGCAAGCUGCCUGGGAAGUACGGUCGCAAGACUGAAACUUAAAGGAAUUGGCGGGGAGCACAGCAACGGGUGGAGCGUGCGGUUU
rnacentral:rRNA from 1 species